UCAUCCCCUCCCCUCUCUUCUCUCUCAGCUUUUUUAUUUCAAAAGGCUUGGUGUGGCUGGGACAUACAGCAGUCUCCCUCUCCCUUCAGGAGGGCCUUCCUGAGCAUAGGGCUGGCUCUUAAAGGCACUAGAGGACAGU